rnacentral:rRNA from 1 species
UUCCAGACUCCUACGGGAGGCAGCAGUGGGGAAUAUUGCACAAUGGGGGAAACCCUGAUGCAGCGACGCCGCGUGAGUGAAGAAGUAUUUCGGUAUGUAAAGCUCUAUCAGCAGGGAAGAAAAUGACGGUACCUGACUAAGAAGCCCUGGCUAACUACGUGCCAGCAGCCGCGGUAAUACGUAGGGGGCAAGCGUUAUCCGGAUUUACUGGGUGUAAAGGGAGCGUAGACGGCAUGGCAAGUCAGAUGUGAAAGCCCGGGGCUCAACCCCGGGACUGCAUUUGAAACUGUCAGGCUGGAGUGCAGGAGAGGUAAGUGGAAUUCCUAGUGUAGCGGUGAAAUGCGUAGAUAUUAGGAGGAACACCAGUGGCGAAGGCGGCGUACUGGACUGUAACUGACGUUGAGGCUCGAAAGCGUGGGGAGCAAACAGGAUUAGAUACCCCAGUACGU